rnacentral:rRNA from 1 species
CAAGUGGCGGACGGGUGAGUAACACGUGAGAAUCUGCCUUUAGGAGGGGGACAACAACUGGAAACGGUUGCUAAUACCCCAUAUGCUUUCGAGUGAAAUGAAUUUAUUCGCCUAGAGAGGAGCUCGCGCCUGAUUAGCUUGUUGGUGGGGUAAAAGCCUACCAAGGCGACGAUCAGUAUCUGGUUUGAGAGGACGAUCAGACACACUGGAACUGAGACACGGUCCAGACUCCUACGGGAGGCAGCAGUGGGGAAUUUUCCGCAAUGGGCGAAAGCCUGACGGAGCAAUACCGCGUGAGGGAAGAC